UGUGUGAGUGUGUGUGUGUUUGCAUGUGCAUGUCUGUGCGCGCGCGCGUGUGUGUGUGUGUAUUGAAGAGAAGAGAAAUUAAACCAAACACAGAAAAAGAGAUUCCAAUUCGUUUUCUUUUACCAGAAAUUGCAAGAAGCAAUUUAUGAAACCUGAUAUUGGGAUUUAAUCUAGAAACCGGAUGAUCUCAUUAGAGAUGUUUAGUCUUUCACAAAAACUUUACAAUUACAGUAACAAAUAGAGAAAGAAAAACAACUUUCCUGAUUAUGGCAAAGAAGCUAACACCUCAUUUGUUUGGUUUGGGUUUUUGUUUGGUUUUUGUAAGUAUAUAAAUAUUCAAUUAAAGAGACAGGCUCACUUGUAAUUAUGAACUCAUGACUGUGACAGCAUUGAGAUACCAUAUAGGCACAUGUACAGCAGAUGUUUGACAGUAACGGUUCUUCCAUGUAACAUAGCAGUUAUUGUGUGAUUUAGUGCCACUUAUUGCAAAGUGUUACCCAUGGGCACACUGAAAAUGCAUUUUUCUCCACCCUUUGACAUACGUAUAAUUUAAAAGAAAAAAUAUAAAAUUUCACACCUUUUUUUUUCCAAUUUGUGAUACUUCAUAUCAGACUGUAGCCUUCCCAUAAUAUUUUUGUCCCAGAAAACUUUUGAAAAUGCCCACCUUUAUUUCCUUUGACACAUGGUAAUCUAUAAUGGGUACAGACAAUGAGGUGAUCAACUGGAAUACCUGAAAAACCUAAAGGACGAGUAAUGCUUUUAGUUAAGUGGCACCAAGUACACACUAGAAACUAUGCAAACUGUAGGUAACUACACUGUAUGUACACGUAAGUAUCUUGUACUAGCUGUGUAUGGAUGUUGGACACCCAUGUAAUUAUAAUAUGCAUUUUGAAUUCUGGGAAAGAGGAAAUCUUAGUGUAGAUAAUAUAAUUUGUUUUGAAAUAUACAUUGGCAAUAUUGAAAUAUACUCAGUGCAAUAUCUCUAAUUCUAUUGCUGGAUAUUUAAUGCAAAGGGUUUUACAAAUCCUCUUAAAGAAGAUCCAAGAGUUUUGCUAAUUCAUCUCUCAUGUUUUAAAGUACUAACUACAGCAAGUGGUAGUUUUUAUUCUUACUUAUUAAGGUAACAAAGGACAUUUAUUUGGUUUGGUUUUUACUCUAGAGAAGGAAAAGACAUGGAUUUUAAUCUUUGAUUUCAUAUCUAAUCAAAUUUAACAUUCUUAAUUUUUUUGAAAUGUAUGUGCUUUAGUAAAUUGACAUACUUUAUGAGUAAAAAUUUAUUCAAAGAAUGUAAGAUAUAUUUAGUAUUUAAAGUCACUUAUAUUUUAAUGAGGAAAUUUUCUUUUCUAUAUUUGCCUUUGUUUUCAUAGCACAACCCAAACAUGCCCUUUGCACUUCUAUAUACCCUUCCAAAGGCAGUGGAUUGAACGUAGCAGGAUAAUCAUGAGACUUGAAGGGGAUGGUAUAUGUGAAUGGGUUCUAAAAUAAUCAGCAUAUUUAUGUAUUGAGAUUACUCUCAAAUGCAAUAGUUAUUGGAUAUAGCUGGUAAUUUCUCUGCCAUGCAUACUUACAAUAAUUCUUCUACCUCUCACUUUUAACAUGGGCUAUGAUACUUCAAUAUAAAUAGCAGAAGUAAAUAUUUACAAGAUAUCCCAGGAAGCAUCAUUUUGGGACCUUCAUAACAAUGCACUCCCCACUCCCUGGGAAAUCUCAAAAGCCAACUUCUUGUAGUGUAUUUUAUGGUGUAUGGGUAAGCGUUUGUUUAGCUUCGCUCUCAUUAGCUGCAUAUAUAGGUAACACAUGAAACUUUGGUGAGGACAGGUCUUUCCAUGCCUAGUUAGUGUUUUGCUGUUAUGUAAUUGUAACUUUUAAAAAGUAAUUUGAUGGCAGCAGUUUGCAAUCCAAUUUGAUAUUUCAGUUUAUUUUUAAAGUAUAAGAAUUUCUUCAAAUUCAAUGCUGUAUUUUAAGUACAAGUCAUGUAUAUGAUUUAAUUUCCAGAGAAAUAUUAUCUAUAUAAACAAAAAUUAAGUAUUUUAAAACUGUCUCCUUAUGAACAAAUAACCCCAAUAAUUCAAAAUAUUGCCUCAAAAGCCCACUUUUUCUGCCUAGGCAUGAUAGGAAGUUUUCAAUGAUGUAAUUUAAAUAUGUUAAAAUAAAAUGCCACUUUAUGAGCGUAUUUUCCCUUCAGGAAAAAAAUAGAUUACAUAAAUUUAUUAAAUAUUGAUGGUGAAUCUAUAAAAUACGCUUAAAAUUAAAGUAAGAGUUUAUGUUAUGUGGUUAUGUUAUACAUAUUAUUUGAUUUAGUCUUUAACAUCGUGUCCAUAUAUGUAUAUGUAGUAUUUAUAUAUGGUCAUAUAUAUAUAUAUAUAUUACAUAUAUGAAAUGUGUGAUUAUUUUGGAGAAAAUGGGCCCAAAUGUGAAAAAGAUGUAAAGAAAACAUUAUAACCCCUUGGAAAUAUGAUGUAUAUUUCAAAGAUGUUAAGUUUAAAGAGAAGUGACAAUUGCAGAGGCACAAGAAAAAAUCUACCAGGGCUCAGCACUCAAGCACUUUCCCCACAUCCAGGGUCAAAGCAGUAGCGAUUCCUACACGGACUUUUAAGCGCAGCAUGAAAUGCAGCAUUACACGAACACACAGUACUGUCAAACCUCAAAUGCUUUCUUUCUUUAGAUGCUUUCCCUUGUACAUGAUCCUCGUAGACAUGUUUUUAUAUUCGCUGAUAGUGAAAGUCACGCGCAAUAAAAUGUAACGGUUGGAAGCAGUAGUCACGAAUCGGUUAAAGACAAGUACAAAAUGUUAACAGUUGUUAUCUUUCUCCUCCUCGCUUUUCUCCGUGGUUCCGAUGUGUUGACUGAAUGUCAUAAAUAG
rnacentral:lncRNA from 1 species